rnacentral:snRNA from 3 species
GUGCUUGCUUUGGCAGCACAUAUAUGAAAACUGGAAUGAUACAGAGAAAAUUAGCAUGGCUCCUAGCACAAGGAUGACAUGUAAAUUCGUGAAGUAUUCCAUAUUUUU